GCAGCAUUAGUUUCAAUUGGUAAAACCUCGUCCUUCCAAGUCGAUGUCGUCGGUUCGACCCCGGCAUGCUGCUCCA
rnacentral:tRNA from 1 species